CCUCGUGCUAGGACGUGUGCAGUGUGGGUGGCUCUGACACAAGCCAUGCUCUGCCUCUGCAAUGCAGAUGUGACACUGGCAGCAACAACCAAGAGAGAGCAGACAGAACAGCUCAAAUGAAACAGAGGAGAGGGCAGAGAUGGUGUUAACAAUGUCUUUAAUGGACUUGGUGACUGUGCACUGCAGUGCAACAGAGCUGCAGGGGCUGAGCACAGCCAGUCCACUGAAAGCAGUGAGGCCUGGAACCCAGUGCACUGGCAAGUCAAAUAAAGCAUUUGUAGAUAAAAAUCAGGAUGUUCCUGACAGUUGUGAGAAUUAACCCAGUCCAUGAGCUUGUUACAGAGAAACAACCAACCAACCAGAAAACAAAAUCAAAACAACCUACUUGCAAAGUUUAGGAGAAAUCUUCAUAAUCUAGAAGCUGCACAUCAGCUAAUUCAGUCAGAACAAAUUUCUGUCACCUAAAUAUCUCUUGCCAGGAGAAUCCUGCUACUUUCAGGGAUGAAGAUUUCCUUCCCAGCAUGAUUCACAGGCCCAGCAUCACACCAGUACUACUGUGACCAAUGUUGCCUCUGCUCUUCAGCCUUUACUGCUGAGGUACUUAUUGCCAGAGGCUUUUAAAGAAUUGUGAAUUCUAAAGAAUUGUGACUUGCAUCACUCUAAUACAACAAAUGUCUAUUACUAUCUCUGCUUUAUAGAUGAAAAAUAAAAAACUGGAGGGAAAUAGGAAAUUUACUCUACUGGAUAGCCUGUGUGGAAGCCAUAAGUCUGUCUCGUAGUCUCCUUACUCUGUGUCUUAACUGUAGGUCCAUCAUUACCAUUCAUUUCAAGGAUGCAUUUAUUACUGCUGCUGCUAAUACCACUGUUUCUGCAAAUGCCAUGUCAAACUGAUAGAGGAAAACAUUCAAUUUCCAGUUUUUCUCCUUCUGUCCUCUGUAUUGCAGUGCAAAGGACUUUUUGGAUGAAAAAGCUAUCUGAGAACAGAUGUAACAAACUCCUCAGGCCUUUCACAAGGACAAACCUGCAUUUCUAUAACAUGGAUUCCAUAUGAUAAUUCAUCAUAUAUUUUCACUGAGAAACCUCCGUGCAGCAGACUUUUGCAUGAACGGAGCAUGAAAUGCAUUAACACAGAGAAUUCACAGAAAAUUGACAUUUUUAUACUCAUUUCCUCACAUUUGUUGUUUGUUUUGUGCAUAGGUAAUGCCACGUUAAGAACU